rnacentral:rRNA from 1 species
AGCUCACUAGUCGAGUCGGCCUGCGCGGAAGAUGUAACGGGGCUAAAACUAUGUGCCGAAGCUGCGGAUGUAUACUUUGUAUACGUGGUAGGGGAGCGUUCUGUAAGCCGAUGAAGGUGUGUUGAGAAGCAUGCUGGAGGUAUCAGAAGUGCGAAUGCUGACGUGAGUAACGACAAAACGGGUGAAAAACCCGUUCGCCGAAAGACCAAGGGUUCCAGUCCAACGUUAAUCGGGGCUGGGUGAGUCGACCCCUAAGGCGAGGCCGAAAGGCGUAGUCGAUGGGAAAAUGGUUAAUAUUCCAUUACUUCUGUGUAAUGCGAUGAGAGGACGGAGAAGGCUAAAUCAGCCUGGCGUUGGUUGUCCAGGUGAAAGGAUGUAGGCAUGUAUCUUAGGCAAAUCCGGGGUACUCUAUGCUGAGAUCUGAUAGCAAGCUGUACUUGUACAGCGAAGUGGUUGAUGCCAUGCUUCCAGGAAAAGUCUCUAAGCUUCAGUUACACAGGAAUCGUACCCGAAACCGACACAGGUGGUCAGGUCGAGUAGACCAAGGCGCUUGAGAGAACUCUGCUGAAGGAACUAGGCAAAAUGGUACCGUAACUUCGGGAGAAGGUACGCUGUUGUUGGUGAUGGAACUCGCUUCCUGAGCUGACGACAGCCGCAGAAACCAGGCCGCUGCAACUGUUUAUUAAAAACAUAGCACUCUGCAAACACGAAAGUGGACGUAUAGGGUGUGAUGCCUGCCCGGUGCUGGAAGGUUAAUUGAUGGGGUUAGCGUAAGCGAAGCUCUUGAUCGAAGCCCCAGUAAACGGCGGCCGUAACUAUAACGGUCCUAAGGUAGCGAAAUUCCUUGUCGGGUAAGUUCCGACCUGCACGAAUGGCAUAAUGAUGGCGGCGCUGUCUCCAGCAGAGGCUCAGUGAAAUCGAAAUCGCUGUGAAGAUGCAGUGUACCCGCGGCUAGACGGAAAGACCCCGUGAACCUUUACUGCAGCUUGACACUGAACUUUGACCUUACUUGUGUAGGAUAGGUGGGAGGCUUUGAAGCUGGAACGCUAGUUCCAGUGGAGCCGUCCUUGAAAUACCACCCUGGUAAUGUUGAGGUUCUAACUCUGUCCCGUGAUCCGGGACGAGGACCGUGUCUGGUGGGUAGUUUGACUGGGGCGGUCUCCUCCUAAAGAGUAACGGAGGAGUACGAAGGUGCGCUCAGCGUGGUCGGAAAUCACGCGUAGAGUAUAAAGGCAAAAGCGCGCUUAACUGCGAGACCCACAAGUCGAGCAGGUACGAAAGUAGGUCUUAGUGAUCCGGUGGUUCUGUAUGGAAGGGCCAUCGCUCAACGGAUAAAAGGUACUCUGGGGAUAACAGGCUGAUACCGCCCAAGAGUUCAUAUCGACGGCGGUGUUUGGCACCUCGAUGUCGGCUCAUCUCAUCCUGGGGCUGAAGCAGGUCCCAAGGGUAUGGCUGUUCGCCAUUUAAAGAGGUACGCGAGCUGGGUUUAGAACGUCGUGAGACAGUUCGGUCCCUAUCUACCGUGGGCGCUGGAAAUUUGAGAGGAUCUGCUCCUAGUACGAGAGGACCAGAGUGGACGAACCUCUGGUGUACCGGUUGUGACGCCAGUCGCAUCGCCGGGUAGCUAUGUUCGGAAGGGAUAACCGCUGAAAGCAUCUAAGCGGGAAGCCUACCUCAAGAUAAGAUUUCCCUAGGACUUUAUGUCCUCUAAAGAGCCGUUCGAGACUAGGACGUUGAUAGGUUGGAUGUGGAAGCAUAGUGAUAUGUGAAGCUGACCAAUACUAAUUGCUCGUGAGGCUUGACUAU